rnacentral:lncRNA from 1 species
GUUUCCAAGCCCAAAACAUCCCUGGGAGAUGAGGCUACUCUGUGUGUGUGUGUGUGUGUGUGUGUGUGUGUGUGUGUGUUGGGGGGGAUAUCUGGUUGAAAUGGGUGCUGUCCUGGACCUUGUCAUUUCAGGGAAUUCUCCCAUGCCCUGCGACCUGGUGUUUCUCAUCCAUUCCCUUGUGUAGUCCCCUGUCCUUGAGUGAGACCUCAACAUACAACUCCUUUCCAAGGAUUAGAAUAAGGCCGAAAUGAAGUCUCUGUCUCCUUUGCUCUGGGGAAAACCCCUUGCUGUGGUGUCAAAUGGGGACACAAGGGACAGCAGCCCAAGGAUCUGUCCUCUAGCCCACCUGAUGACCACAGCCCAGCCGGCACCUUCCUGGAGGCCUCUGGAGUCCCCUGCCCCGCGCAGGCGCCAGCGGACCCUGUCCAGACCCCUGCCCCAUGGUGACACUGUCUGAAGUUGCUAACUGUUGGGUUCCUUGGCAGGGGAGCAACCUUUCACCAGCACUCUACUGAACAGGGCUGUCCUCUAAGCACACUUGGAUCGCUGCUGUUCUGAACGGCUCUGCUCUGCUUCCAGAGCCACACCAGAAAACAGGCCCGGGCCUUUCACCCCCUCAUUUCAGCCAGCAAUGUAUCUGGCAGCCAUGCCCAUCAACUCCAGCAUCUUUGGAUGGGCUGUGGGCUGCUGGAGAAAGCAAUUUGGCCACCAAAGAAGGAAGGUUGACUGCCGCAACAUUCUGAUAGUAGCGAGCACCUGCGGUCUGGAUAUUCAGAACGUUGAGGCUGAGGCAGGAGUGAUAAAGAAGAUACGGCGUGGCAAAGCUGGCUGGGGAAAUGAGAGAGACCUGUCAAUCACAAGGUCCCAGGACAGCACCAAAUAAUUCUCAGAACCCUGUAUGUGGAACUUCUCUCAGGCUCCCACAAGAUGUGGACAGCGUAAAAGAAGAUCAGAUGCCAAGGGAGCCCACCAUCCUGACUUCCCACGGUAACCCAGUUGCGUUUCCCAGAUGCAGCAUGUACCUUUACUUUUCCUUUUAUCUUCUUUUUCUCUUGUUCUACCCAAGUUUGCUCUACAGAGCUGGUUUCUCCUAUACCCCUUCACCUUGCACUUUUCUUUUUUUCUGAAACAGUCUCACUAUGUAGUUCAGGCUGGCGUUGAACUCACUAUCUAGAACAGGCUGGUCUCAAACUCCAGGCACUCCUCCUGCCUCAGCCUCCUGAGUACUGUGAAUACAGGCUAGUGCCUCCACACCCAGCCACCUGUACUUUUCAAAUAAACUUUUGGCACUGUUUUUUGUUUGUUUGUUUGUUUGUGGCAGCAGGGAUUGAACUUGGGACUGUGCACUUGCAAGGCAGGCGGCGGAACCACCAGCCUUGGCACUGUUUUUGGCUUGGCUUGUCCAAUUAUUUGUUCAAGGCAAGAAGGGCCUGGAAUACUUUUGAUUGGUAAGCCAUUCCUAAAGAAACUACCCUAUAACAAGAGGAUGACUGCAAGUUAGAGCCAACCUGGGCUACACAGUGAGUUCAAGCCAGCCUAGACUACAUAGCAGGACCCCAUCAGAAAGAAGGAAGAAAGAAAAGGAAAGGAAGAAGGAAUGAAGUUACCUGAAUACCUCCUAAAUUAUUUUCUUUAAAAUAAUAUACUGAAGGUAGGAUAAAAU